CUAUUUGCAGAGCCUAAAGAAGCCCGUUGCCAAGGUGACAGGAGUAGGAACAGCAGGGAGCUUGCCAUGGGGGAGGGGCUUUGCCCCCAAACAGCUGUCAGUGGGAGCAGUCCCAGCUGGGACUAGAGCGGUGGCCUGCUCGGGGGAGCAAGCAGCCCCCAGGAGCACACAUUCCUCCCCGCUCUCCCCCCACCGCCCCCUUCACCGCAAGUCUCCACCGGUUACGUUCCCUGGGGGCAACCAGCCAGCCGGCUCAAAAAAGGCUCCAAUAACAAACAAAAAAACCUGCCGCUCCGCUCCCCCCACCCCCAACGCAUGCGCACACACGCUGCUCCCUCAGUUCAUUCACACGGGUUGGCUGGGCAGGAGGCCAGAAGUUACCUCCGCCUGGGGAACUGCGACGCCCAGGGCAGGUGCUGCUCCAGGUUGCACCCCCACCCCCGGUCAGGUUCAGCACCCAGGUUGUCCUCCCAGACGUUGCCAACAUGUCCUCUUGCCAGCCCGGAGGUGACUACCCAGGUGGUGUCUUACCUGGACAGUCUGCCGGUCAGGAAUGCCACUGUAUACAGAAAUCUGGGGCCCUGCAGGGCGGCCACUUCCACCACUGUUGCUGCUGUUGCCACCGCCGCUGCUGCUACUGACCCCACUGUGUCUCUGGAAACUGAAGCGAGAGCUCACAAAGGCAGAAACGAAGGAUGAGACGUUAAAACUGGCCGUGUGGUCCUAGCAAUCAGAGUGGAACAAUUUCACUGGGAAACAGAACCCAACAAAUAAACAAUGUUUUUAAAGACAA